CAGAUUGCUCGCUGGUAUCUGG
rnacentral:miRNA from 12 species